rnacentral:rRNA from 1 species
CCUAACACAUGCAAGUCGAACGGUAACAGGAAGAAGCUUGCUUCUUUGCUGACGAGUGGCGGACGGGUGAGUAAUGUCUGGGAAACUGCCUGAUGGAGGGGGAUAACUACUGGAAACGGUAGCUAAUACCGCAUAACGUCGCAAGACCAAAGAGGGGGACCUUCGGGCCUCUUGCCAUCGGAUGUGCCCAGAUGGGAUUAGCUAGUAGGUGGGGUAACGGCUCACCUAGGCGACGAUCCCUAGCUGGUCUGAGAGGAUGACCAGCCACACUGGAACUGAGACACGGUCCAGACUCCUACGGGAGGCAGCAGUGGGGAAUAUUGCACAAUGGGCGCAAGCCUGAUGCAGCCAUGCCGCGUGUAUGAAGAAGGCCUUCGGGUUGUAAAGUACUUUCAGCGGGGAGGAAGGGAGUAAAGUUAAUACCUUUGCUCAUUGACGUUACCCGCAGAAGAAGCACCGGCUAACUCCGUGCCAG